rnacentral:rRNA from 1 species
GAUGAACGCUGGCGGCGUGCCUAAUACAUGCAAGUCGAGCGAACAGACGAGGAGCUUGCUCCUCUGACGUUAGCGGCGGACGGGUGAGUAACACGUGGAUAACCUACCUAUAAGACUGGGAUAACUUCGGGAAACCGGAGCUAAUACCGGAUAACAUGUUGAACCGCAUGGUUCAACAGUGAAAGACGGUCUUGCUGUCACUUAUAGAUGGAUCCGCGCCGCAUUAGCUAGUUGGUAAGGUAACGGCUUACCAAGGCAACGAUGCGUAGCCGACCUGAGAGGGUGAUCGGCCACACUGGAACUGAGACACGGUCCAGACUCCUACGGGAGGCAGCAGUAGGGAAUCUUCCGCAAUGGGCGAAAGCCUGACGGAGCAACGCCGCGUGAGUGAUGAAGGUCUUCGGAUCGUAAAACUCUGUUAUUAGGGAAGAACAAAUGUGUAAGUAACUAUGCACGUCUUGACGGGACCUAAUCAGAAAGCCACGGCUAACUACGU